GGCAGUUCUCAGGUGACAGACCCUGGAAUUGGGCUCCCUCCUCUCUGGUUCCAGUGCGUCACCCAAGAAUCUCA
rfam:Myotis davidii contig212596, whole genome shotgun sequence.